AAGUCGAGCGGCAGCGCGGGGGCAACCCUGGCGGCGAGCGGCGGACGGGUGAGGAAUGCGUCGGAAUCUGCCUUUUUGUGGGGGAUAACGUAGGGAAACUUACGCUAAUACCGCAUACGACCUACGGGUGAAAGUGGGGGACCGCAAGGCCUCACGCAGAAAGAUGAGCCGACGCCGGAUUAGCUAGUUGGCGGGGUAAAGGCCCACCAAGGCGACGAUCCGUAGCUGGUCUGAGAGGAUGAUCAGCCACACUGGAACUGAGACACGGUCCAGACUCCUACGGGAGGCAGCAGUGGGGAAUAUUGGACAAUGGGCGCAAGCCUGAUCCAGCCAUGCCGCGUGUGUGAAGAAGGCCUUCGGGUUGUAAAGCACUUUUGUCCGGAAAGAAAAGCAUUCGGUUAAUAACCGAGUGUCAUGACGGUACCGGAAGAAUAAGCACCGGCUAACUUCGUGCCAGCAGCCGCGGUAAUACGAAGGGUGCAAGCGUUACUCGGAAUUACUGGGCGUAAAGCGUGCGUAGGUGGUUCGUUAAGUCUGAUGUGAAAGCCCUGGGCUCAACCUGGGAAUGGCAUUGGAUACUGGCGACCUAGAGUGCGGUAGAGGGGUGUGGAAUUCCCGGUGUAGCAGUGAAAUGCGUAGAUUUCGGGAGGAACAUCUGUGGCGAAGGCGACACCCUGGACCAGCACUGACACUGAGGCACGAAAGC
rnacentral:rRNA from 1 species